rnacentral:lncRNA from 1 species
GUGUAAAAGUUAUGUUUCAUUUUGUUAUAAAUGCUAGAUGACAGAAAGGAUACUUUCAUUUCACCACUGGCACCUGACUGCUGUUACUAUUCCCAGUCGCACAGAGAAGAACUGUACCUCAGUGCUGAAAGGUCAUCUUUAAAAUAUUGGCCGUGGCACAGGGAAUACACUUGUAGCAGGACGUAUAAAUUUCACUAUACUUGCCAUAUGAUGGGUGAAGAAACUGAGGCACAGGAAGAAAGAUGAAUUAUUCAAUGAUGCCCACUUCUUUGGAUAAGCCCUUAACAAGUGGCUUUAGUACAACUUCGAGUUGUUCAGCACUUUUGGAACAAAAGGCCAUACCUAAAUGCAGAUUUAAGAAACUACUGUAUGCAU